CCGCCACCACGCCUCAUCUCUCCUCGACCCCGUCCUUCGCCUCCAAGCGAUGAUGACGGCAUGAGAUCCAUAGCGACAACAGUUGCAGCGGCCCGAUGGAAGCGGCGGACAACCCUAGCCGCGGUGGCGCGCCUCUGCUUCUCGCAUCCAACGACCUGGGCCAUGGAUCUGCGGCAGAUGCCUCCCUCCUUCAUCUCACAAGCCGCGCAGCUGCCUUGCCAUCCGGAGAUUUGGAGCAGCAAUCGCUGGACGAGGAGAGGACGACCACCGUGACCUGUGGGAGGGUCGACCUCAACCUCGCCGGCGACGGCGACGCCCCGCACAUGUUCAGGAGGAACUCUCUGCCUCUCUAGUUCGAUGGACGGCGACGACCGGGACCCACGCUCGAGCCCGACGACCGGGACAACUCGAUGGCGAGGUCCUCCUCCCCGACCACCAUGAUUCCCCGGAGAACAUGAAGGUUUAUUUGGCCAAUCCCUGUAGGCAGCAGCAACCUUUGCUACAACGUGAUCAUCUGUAAUGAAGGUAAUCUCGCCUGUGGUGAUUGCAGCAGCAAUCUGUAGCUGCUAGAAGAGCCAGCGCUUCUGCUUGAAGCGGAGAGGUGACAUCAAUUGUUACAUAUUUUGUUCAUCGCACCUUGUCGUACUCACCGACAAGCCUGAACAGCCUCUUAACAUUGGUUUCCGUGGAGACAAAACAAGAAGCUGAUUCAUUGAGAUAUUGGCUAUACAACAGCGGGUUUCCCCGCAACGACGAUCCAUGGUGAAUACAGGAGAUAAGAUUAGGAAGUGGGCUACUUGGUGCUUCUCAUCACAAUCAGCCAAGACAUGAUGGUUGCCAUCAGGAGGGCUCACAACAAGAACCUAAGUAACAGCCUUGAUAGUUUGUAUGUUCUGUUGAUGUAAAAUGCAUUGUACUCAUUCCUAACCGUGAUGUGAUAUAUUUUAUCAAUUCAUAUUGUAAUUUAUCAUUUUUAGAGGAUUUUAUAAACUGCUAUGUUGUACUGUGUAAUGUUAACUAGUUUCCAAAAGUUGGUUGAACGGUUUAAUGUUGUU